rnacentral:ncRNA from 1 species
CUUAUCCAGAGAGGUGGAGGGGGUUGACCCGUAGAAACUUCAGCAACAGACUUAUCAUUAUGAGUACUGUGCUACUUUCAACAAGUGAAAUGCUUGAAAGAUAAGU